GACGAACGCUGGCGGCGUGCUUAACACAUGCAAGUCGAGCGGAAAGGCCCUUUCGGGGGUACUCGAGCGGCGAACGGGUGAGUAACACGUGAGUAAUCUGCCCUUGGCUUUGGGAUAACCACCGGAAACGGUGGCUAAUACCGGAUAUGACGGGCUCCGGCAUCGGGGUUCGUGGAAAGUUUUUUCGGCCAGGGAUGUGCUCGCGGCCUAUCAGCUUGUUGGUGGGGUAAUGGCCUACCAAGGCUUCGACGGGUAGCCGGCCUGAGAGGGUGACCGGCCACACUGGGACUGAGACACGGCCCAGACUCCUACGGGAGGCAGCAGUGGGGAAUAUUGGACAAUGGGCGGAAGCCUGAUCCAGCAACGCCGCGUGAGGGAUGACGGCCU
rnacentral:rRNA from 1 species